UCGGGAAUUUUGGGCAAUGGGCGAAAGCCUGACCCAGCAACGCCGCGUGAAGGAUGAAGUAUUUCGGUAUGUAAACUUCGAAAGAAUAGGAAGAAUAAAUGACGGUACUAUUUAUAAGGUCCGGCUAACUACGUGCCAGCAGCCGCGGUAAUACGUAGGGACCAAGCGUUGCUCGGAUUUACUGGGCGUAAAGGGCGCGUAGGCGGCGUGGUAAGUCACUUGUGAAAUCUCCGAGCUUAACUCGGAACGGUCAAGUGAUACUGCUGUGCUAGAGUACAGAAGGGGCAAUCGGAAUUCUUGGUGUAGCGGUGAAAUGCGUAGAUAUCAAGAGGAACACCUGAGGUGAAGACGGGUUGCUGGGCUGACACUGACGCUGAGGCGCGAAAGCCAGGGGAGCAAACGGGAUUAGAUACCCACGUAGUCCCUGAGCGGGCUGGCAAGGCGCAU
rnacentral:rRNA from 1 species